rnacentral:rRNA from 1 species
GGCUUAACGCUGGCGGCGUGCCUAAUACAUGCACGUCGAGCGAACGGCCGAGAAGCUUGCUUCUCUGAUGUUAGCGGCGGACGGGUGAGUAACACGUGGAUAACCUACCUAUAAGACUGGGAUAACUUCGGGAAACCGUAGCUAAUACCGGAUAAUAUUUUGAACCGCAUGGUUCAAAAGUGAAAGACGGUCUUGCUGUCAAUUAUAGAUGGAUCCGCGCUGCAUUAGCUAGUUGGUAAGGUAACGGCUUACCAAGGCAACGAUGCAUAGCCGACCUGAGAGGGUGAUCGGCCACACUGGAACUGAGACACGGUCCAGACUCCUACGGGAGGCAGCAGUAGGGAAUCUUCCGCAAUGGGCGAAAGCCUGACGGAGCAACGCCGCGUGAGUGAUGAAGGUCUUCGGAUCGUAAAACUCUGUUAUUAGGGAAGGACAUAUGUGUAAGUAACUGUGCACAUCUUGACGGUACCUAAUCAGAAAGCCACGGCUAACUACGUG